GAUGAACGCUGGCGGCGUGCCUAAUACAUGCAAGUCGAGCGAACAGACGAGGAGCUUGCUCCUCUGACGUUAGCGGCGGACGGGUGAGUAACACGUGGAUAACCUACCUAUAAGACUGGGAUAACUUCGGGAAACCGGAGCUAAUACCGGAUAAUAUAUUGAACCGCAUGGUUCAAUAGUGAAAGACGGUUUUGCUGUCACUUAUAGAUGGAUCCGCGCCGCAUUAGCUAGUUGGUAAGGUAACGGCUUACCAAGGCGACGAUGCGUAGCCGACCUGAGAGGGUGAUCGGCCACACUGGAACUGAGACACGGUCCAGACUCCUACGGGAGGCAGCAGUAGGGAAUCUUCCGCAAUGGGCGAAAGCCUGACGGAGCAACGCCGCGUGAGUGAUGAAGGUCUUCGGAUCGUAAAACUCUGUUAUUAGGGAAGAACAAAUGUGUAAGUAACUAUGCACGUCUUGACGGUACCUAAUAAGAAAGCCACGGCUAACUACGUG
rnacentral:rRNA from 1 species